AGAGUUUGAUCCUGGCUCAGGAUGAACGCUGGCGGCGUGCCUAAUACAUGCAAGUCGAGCGAACGGACGAGAAGCUUGCUUCUCUGAUGUUAGCGGCGGACGGGUGAGUAACACGUGGAUAACCUACCUAUAAGACUGGGAUAACUUCGGGAAACCGGAGCUAAUACCGGAUAAUAUUUUGAACCGCAUGGUUCAAAAGUAAAAGACGGUCUUGCUGUCACUUAUAGAUGGAUCCGCGCUGCAUUAGCUAGUUGGUAAGGUAACGGCUUACCAAGGCAACGAUGCAUAGCCGACCUGAGAGGGUGAUCGGCCACACUGGAACUGAGACACGGUCCAGACUCCUACGGGAGGCAGCAGUAGGGAAUCUUCCGCAAUGGGCGAAAGCCUGACGGAGCAACGCCGCGUGAGUGAUGAAGGUCUUCGGAUCGUAAAACUCUGUUAUUAGGGAAGAACAUAUGUGUAAGUAACUGUGCACAUCUUGACGGUACCUAAUCAGAAAGCCACGGCUAACUACGUGCCAGCAGCCGCGGUAAUACGUAGGUGGCAAGCGUUAUCCGGAAUUAUUGGGCGUAAAGCGCGCGUAGGCGGUUUUUUAAGUCUGAUGUGAAAGCCCACGGCUCAACCGUGGAGGGUCAUUGGAAACUGGAAAACUUGAGUGCAGAAGAGGAAAGUGGAAUUCCAUGUGUAGCGGUGAAAUGCGCAGAGAUAUGGAGGAACACCAGUGGCGAAGGCGACUUUCUGGUCUGUAACUGACGCUGAUGUGCGAAAGCGUGGGGAUCAAACAGGAUUAGAUACCCUGGUAGUCCACGCCGUAAACGAUGAGUGCUAAGUGUUAGGGGGUUUCCGCCCCUUAGUGCUGCAGCUAACGCAUUAAGCACUCCGCCUGGGGAGUACGACCGCAAGGUUGAAACUCAAAGGAAUUGACGGGGACCCGCACAAGCGGUGGAGCAUGUGGUUUAAUUCGAAGCAACGCGAAGAACCUUACCAAAUCUUGACAUCCUUUGACAACUCUAGAGAUAGAGCCUUCCCCUUCGGGGGACAAAGUGACAGGUGGUGCAUGGUUGUCGUCAGCUCGUGUCGUGAGAUGUUGGGUUAAGUCCCGCAACGAGCGCAACCCUUAAGCUUAGUUGCCAUCAUUAAGUUGGGCACUCUAAGUUGACUGCCGGUGACAAACCGGAGGAAGGUGGGGAUGACGUCAAAUCAUCAUGCCCCUUAUGAUUUGGGCUACACACGUGCUACAAUGGACAAUACAAAGGGCAGCGAAACCGCGAGGUCAAGCAAAUCCCAUAAAGUUGUUCUCAGUUCGGAUUGUAGUCUGCAACUCGACUACAUGAAGCUGGAAUCGCUAGUAAUCGUAGAUCAGCAUGCUACGGUGAAUACGUUCCCGGGUCUUGUACACACCGCCCGUCACACCACGAGAGUUUGUAACACCCGAAGCCGGUGGAGUAACCUUUUAGGAGCUAGCCGUCGAAGGUGGGACAAAUGAUUGGGGUGAAGUCGUAACAAGGUAGCCGUAUCGGAAGGU
rnacentral:rRNA from 1 species